GUAGGUGGCAAGCGUUGUCCGGAAUUAUUGGGCGUAAAGCGCGCGCAGGUGGUUCUUUAAGUCUGAUGUGAAAGCCCCCGGCUCAACCGGGGAGGGUCAUUGGAAACUGGGGAACUUGAGUGCAGGAGAGGAAAGUGGAAUUCCACGUGUAGCGGUGAAAUGCGUAGAUAUGUGGAGGAACACCAGUGGCGAAGGCGACUUUCUGGCCUGUAACUGACACUGAGGCGCGAAAGCGUGGGGAGCAAACAGGGAUUAGAUACCCUGGUAGUCCACGCUGUAAACGAUGAGUGCUAAGUGUUGGGGGGGUUUCCGCCCCCUCAGUGCUGCAGCUAACGCAUUAAGCACUCCGCCUGGGAGUACGGUCGCAAGACUG
rnacentral:rRNA from 1 species